GAGGUGAGAAAUCCGAUGUCUACAAG
rnacentral:piRNA from 1 species